AUUGAACGCUGGCGGCAGGCCUAACACAUGCAAGUCGAGCGGAGCGGGGACGGGUGAGUAACACGUGGGUAACCUCCCAUCAGAGGGGAUAACACUUGGAAACAGGUGCUAAACCGAUACUGAUGGAUGAACCCGCGGUGCAUUGGCUAGUUGGUGAGGUAACGGCUCACCAAGGCCACGAUGCAUAGCCGACCUGAGAGAGUGAUCGGCCACGUGGGGACUGAGAAACGGCCCAGCCUCCUACGGGAGGCAGCAGUAGGGAAUGUUCGGCAAUGGACGAAAGUCUGACCGAGAAAGGCCGCGUGGGGGAAGAAGGUUUUCGGAUCGUAAAACUCUGUUGUUGGAGAAGCGGUAUCUAACCAGAAAGCCACGGCUAACUACGUGCCAGCAGCCGCGGUAAUAC
rnacentral:rRNA from 1 species